UUCCCUCUCUAUUUCUGGAAAUUCCACGAGCCCGUCGCCCGUUCCAUUGUUGGUUCGGGAAAGAUGCCUGGAACGAAAGGAAAUACUUAAAGAGAAGGGUAGUGGAGAAGCGAGUUAGAACGUGCACGCUUUCCGCUUUGAGGUUUCGCGUAAGUACUUACCUCGGGUUGUAAAUGGAGGUUGGAAGGGUAUGCGUAUGUAAAUACAUACGUAUAUUUGCGUAUCCGGUGGAGGAAAGAUGAAAAAGUGUCGAUCGAAGACGGGGAUAAAAUAAGGAGGUACUACGAAAAAGAAAGACUCGGGGGCGUUAACGAACGGCGUCGGUGGCUAGGAUCGAGUCAGUGUUCUAGCGAUACCGAGAAAUGAUACUUGUUUGGUCUGAUCCGAUCGCCCUAGUAGUAGUCUGGGGCGUCUCCGGGGUGGUAUUGGCGAGGUUGCCUUUGAAAAGAAAAAAAAAUAUAUUUUUUUUUUCGCAAAUUUUCAUCGGAUCUUCCUCCGUCA
rnacentral:rRNA from 1 species